rnacentral:rRNA from 1 species
ACCCAGACCGCCAGCUAAGGUCCCAAAGUCAUGGUUAAGUGGGAAACGAUGUGGGAAGGCCCAGACAGCCAGGAUGUUGGCUUAGAAGCAGCCAUCAUUAAAGAAAGCGUAAUAGCUCACUGGUCGAGUCGGCCUGCGCGGAAGAUGUAACGGGGCUAAACCAUGCACCGAAGCUGCGGCAGCGAACGUAUCACCCAAGACAACUUUACGGAGUUGACGAUUGACGGAGCGAAGCGACGUCAAAGCGUUCAUUAAAGUCGAGUUGGCUUAGGGAUACGUUCGUUGGGUAGGGGAGCGUUCUGUAAGCCUGUGAAGGUGUGUCGUGAGGCAUGCUGGAGGUAUCAGAAGUGCGAAUGCUGACAUAAGUAACGAUAAAGCGGGUGAAAAGCCCGCUCGCCGGAAGACCAAGGGUUCCUGUCCAACGUUAAUCGGGGCAGGGUGAGUCGACCCCUAAGGCGAGGCCGAAAGGCGUAGUCGAUGGGAAACGGGUUAAUAUUCCCGUACUUGGUGUUACUGCGAAGGGGGGACGGAGAAGGCUAUGUUGGCCGGGCGACGGUUGUCCCGGUUUAAGCGUGUAGGUGUGUGUUCCAGGUAAAUCCGGUUCACUUUAACACUGAGGCGUGAUGACGAGGCACUACGGUGCUGAAGCAACAAAUGCCCUGCUUCCAGGAAAAGCCUCUAAGCAUCAGGUAACAUCAAAUCGUACCCCAAACCGACACAGGUGGUCAGGUAGAGAAUACCAAGGCGCUUGAGAGAACUCGGGUGAAGGAACUAGGCAAAAUGGUGCCGUAACUUCGGGAGAAGGCACGCUGACACGUAGGUGAAGUGAUUUACUCAUGGAGCUGAAGUCAGUCGAAGAUACCAGCUGGCUGCAACUGUUUAUUAAAAACACAGCACUGUGCAAACACGAAAGUGGACGUAUACGGUGUGACGCCUGCCCGGUGCCGGAAGGUUAAUUGAUGGGGUCAGCGCAAGCGAAGCUCCUGAUCGAAGCCCCGGUAAACGGCGGCCGUAACUAUAACGGUCCUAAGGUAGCGAAAUUCCUUGUCGGGUAAGUUCCGACCUGCACGAAUGGCGUAAUGAUGGCCAGGCUGUCUCCACCCGAGACUCAGUGAAAUUGAACUCGCUGUGAAGAUGCAGUGUACCCGCGGCAAGACGGAAAGACCCCGUGAACCUUUACUAUAGCUUGACACUGAACAUUGAGCCUUGAUGUGUAGGAUAGGUGGGAGGCUUUGAAGCGUGGACGCCAGUCUGCGUGGAGCCGACCUUGAAAUACCACCCUUUAAUGUUUGAUGUUCUAACGUGGACCCGUGAUCCGGGUUGCGGACAGUGUCUGGUGGGUAGUUUGACUGGGGCGGUCUCCUCCUAAAGAGUAACGGAGGAGCACGAAGGUUGGCUAAUCCUGGUCGGACAUCAGGAGGUUAGUGCAAUGGCAUAAGCCAGCUUGACUGCGAGCGUGACGGCGCGAGCAGGUGCGAAAGCAGGUCAUAGUGAUCCGGUGGUUCUGAAUGGAAGGGCCAUCGCUCAACGGAUAAAAGGUACUCCGGGGAUAACAGGCUGAUACCGCCCAAGAGUUCAUAUCGACGGCGGUGUUUGGCACCUCGAUGUCGGCUCAUCACAUCCUGGGGCUGAAGUAGGUCCCAAGGGUAUGGCUGUUCGCCAUUUAAAGUGGUACGCGAGCUGGGUUUAGAACGUCGUGAGACAGUUCGGUCCCUAUCUGCCGUGGGCGCUGGAGAACUGAGGGGGGCUGCUCCUAGUACGAGAGGACCGGAGUGGACGCAUCACUGGUGUUCGGGUUGUCAUGCCAAUGGCACUGCCCGGUAGCUAAAUGCGGAAGAGAUAAGUGCUGAAAGCAUCUAAGCACGAAACUUGCCCCGAGAUGAGUUCUCCCUGAGACUUAAAGUCUCCUGAAGGAACGUUGAAGACGACGACGUUGAUAGGCCGGGUGUGUAAGCGCAGCGAUGCGUUGAGCUAACCGGUACUAAUGAACCGUGAGGCUUAACCUUACAACGCCGAAG